AUUAUUAGUGGAUUUUACCCAAUAAGUAAACAGGCCCGAUCAAUUGAAGGAACCCAAUAGCCCAAAUCAGGCGAUCAACUGGAAGUUAUUGGUUCAUCGCCAAAUCUCAAAACCCUGGCUUUAGGGCUUAUCAGAAAGAUUCUCCCUCUGAAUUUUCCGGUCUCGGCAACUGAAAUGGCCAAGGAAGCACAAGUUUUGCGCCCAUGGUUUCUGGAUUUGGUACCGGUAUUGGUUUACUGGAUUUUCAGAUUAGCUACUGACAAGCAGCCCCAAAGAAGAAAGGCACAUUAAGCUUACAUUAUAUUGGAAAGUUGAGAAAUAUUAGGAGGUUACUUAUGCUGGAUUUUAUUCUAUGUAGAGACAGAGGUUUAUAAAGAGUAUAAUUUUUUGUGAUAUCUAUCAUUUGUCAUGUAACUCAUGUUUAGUUGAACCUUAGAUUUGUUUCAUAUUUCAUGCUUGUACAUUGUUGUUCUAGAUGUUCUUGACUUUGCCUUUAUGCUUACCCUAUUGUGUUGGAUUAUUAUUGCUACUGAGUAUUUGUUAAUGGAUUCACGUUUCCUUCCA